rnacentral:rRNA from 1 species
AUGAGCAGGAGAGAAAAAGGGAGGACAAGAGGAGGCCAGAGGAAGAGAGAUGGGAGCGGUGACCGCGUACGACCGCCCCGACCACACGGUCGCGGCUUGGCCACCGCGGCCUCCGCGCGGAGCUUCGCGACUACGACCAGCCGGAGGUGGAGGCCAUCAUGUGGUGGGCCGUCAGGUCGGGCUUCAGGGACAACGUCGUCCUGCUCCGCAAGGUCAUCGGCCCCUACCUCAGCGCUAACGGCAGGUGCGUCAACGUCGACCACAGAGCCAGCUUCCCCUCCAGUAUUGGAUCGUCGAGCGCUUCCCUGCCAGGGAAGAUGGCAUACCUGCCUUUCCUGCCCUGCAUCUGGUGAGUUCGCCAUGACAGACCCACUUCUUGGUACCUCUCCUUCUUUCCUUCGCAUGCCCGAGCUCCUCCCUGUAAGCUGGCUGGGAGGGCUCGUGCUCGCCGCCACCGCCAGCCGGUCCUCCCUGCACUUGCCCGCGACCUCUCCGCCCCCUCUACACCGCCCUACACCUCAACUUCAGACGCACAUGUGUUUGUGGAUGUUAUCGGUUAUUUUUUGCACACAAGGUGUUUGUGUGUUUGUCUGA